CUAAAACUAUUGGGAUUUUUUCUAUCGAUGGAGCAAAACGCGGGUGUCAACUGUGCCAAAGACCGUCUUCAUAGCGGGGUGUUCCACUCUUUUAGGGUUUCACUGGCACAUUUUUUUACCUUUUUUCAUUCAUUUCCCAUCUAUUACUCUCCAUACUUUGUACUCUGAAUCUUGUUUACUUUUUCUCACAUUUGUUCACACUCAGGCACAGUCAAACACGUCAAUCUCUCAACACUGCAAUUAAAUUGUUCUCUAGGUUGCGCAAUCCGGCAUGCAGGCAUCAAAGGCAAGGCUGGCUGUACAAGGAGUACAAAGAAGUGCAGCAAGAGAAAGACUGUUGAUCCUGAUAUUAAAGUAGUCUUUGUUGAUUCUAAUAUUUUUAAAUGGAAGGGUCUUAUCAAGUUGGGGUCCCUCUGAGACUCCUUAUGAGGGGUGCGGGUUCCAGCUUACUUUAUUCUGGAGCAGUAUUCUCUACAGCCACCUCAAGUCCUGUUUUUGACUAAAAUAUUUCACCCAAUGUUCACUUUAAGGCUUCUUACAUGGCAUUCAGGGAGCCAGGCAAGCGCAUCAUUUCACCAAUGGGAGAGAUAUAACAAUUUUCAUUAAGAGGGACAGAAUGAGUAAGAGGAGGCUAUCAAAGAGGAGGGGAAUACUCUAGUUCUUGUGCUCAAGUCAAAAUGACUUUGAACUCCAAGCAGGUCUCUGUAGUUUUUGCUUCUGGAGCCAAUGAACCUAUGGGGUAUUUAAGGAGACAGAAGUGAGGGGAGAGACAAGAGAAAAUCCAUGAAAAAGAGGGGAGAAAAGGAAGAAUUAAGGGUACAAUUGGCAAAGGCGGCAACCAAGCCUUGGUUGUAACAAAUAGUUCCACCAGAUAGAGCCAAACCUCCUGGGUUUUACAGACGAUGCCAAAACCAGUCAAUAAGACAAGGCCAGAGUUGCAGUGAGCGUUAGCUGAGUUUGAUGCUGGGGUCCGUUUCUCACAGAACCGAAGCUGGAUCAAAAUAUGGACAAAUGUGAUCAUCUAACUCAUACUCCAUCACCAUCAAACGGUACUUAAUAUUAUAGAAAAUUUGUGCAGUGUCCAUCACUGGAUUAAAAUAUCUCUAGCCGUUGUAUAAGUAUGUUUCAUCCUUUAACUAUAGUAACAAUUUAAUAAUUAACAGAAAAGAACUGUACUGGCAUGAGA